GUUAGGAAUAUUGGACAAUGGGCGAAAGCCUGAUCCAGCCAUGCCGCGUGAACGAUGAAGGCCUUCGGGUUGUAAAGUUCUUUAGCCGAUGAUUAUAAUGACUGUAGUCGGAAAAUAAGCCCCGGCUAACUUCGUGCCAGCAGCCGCGGUAAUACGAAGGGGGCGAGCGUUAUUCGGAAUCACUGGGCGUAAAGCGUGCGUAGGCGGUUUUGUAAGUUAGGAGUGAAAGCCCAGGGCUCAACCUUGGAAUUGCUCUUAAAACUGCAAGGCUCGAAUCUCGGAGAGGAUAGCGGAAUUUCCAGUGUAGCAGUGAAAUGUGUAGAUAUUGGAAGGAACACCAGUGGCGUAAGCGGCUAUCUGGACGAGUAUUGACGCUGAGGCACGAAAGCGUGGGGAUCAAACAGGAUUAGAAACCCCAGUAGUCC
rnacentral:rRNA from 1 species